CAGUCGCCGCGGGAAUACGAAGGGUGCAAGCGUUACUCGGAAUUACUGGGCGUAAAGCGUGCGUAGGCGGUGAGUUAAGUCUGCUGUGAAAUCCCCGGGCUCAACCUGGGAAUGGCAGUGGAUACUGGCAAGCUAGAGUGUGUCAGAGGAUGGUGGAAUUCCCGGUGUAGCAGUGAAAUGCGUAGAGAUCGGAAGGAACAUCUGUGGCGAAGGCGACUAUCUGGGCCAACACUGACACUGAGACACGAAAGCGUGGGGAGCAAACAGGAUUAGAUACCCCGUAGUCCCUGUCUCUUAUACA
rnacentral:rRNA from 1 species